UCGGAGACGCCGCGGCCGCCUGAGGACUGAGGUACAGUUUUUUUUGACAAGAAACAGAGGGGAACACCACUGAAAUCACUUGAGAUAGCUCCACAAAACCUGUAGUACCAACACAUGGCGAUCGCUGCUCAUGUUUUCCUUGCUGAUAAGUGAUAACCAUGUUUCAGGCAAACGUACCAUCUUCCCAGUGUGAUGUGUUUUUCCCUGAAGGCUCAAGCUUGUCGCUGGAGGCUGGAGCAGAACAAUGAAAGGAUUUAGCUAUCGGACAUGGAUACAC
rnacentral:lncRNA from 1 species